rnacentral:rRNA from 1 species
UACGGGGGGGGCAAGCGUUGUUCGGAAUUACUGGGCGUAAAGGGUUCGUAGGUGGCUUGCUAAGUCAGACGUGAAAUCCCUCAGCUUAACUGGGGAACUGCGUCUGAUACUGGCGAGCUUGAGUGCAGGAGAGGAACGCAGAAUUCCAGGUGUAGCGGUGAAAUGCGUAGAUAUCUGGAGGAAUACCGGUGGCGAAGGCGGCGUUCUGGACUGCAACUGACACUGAUGAACGAAAGCGUGGGGAUCAAACAGG